UACGUAGGGUGCAAGCGUUAAUCGGAAUUACUGGGCGUAAAGCGUGCGCAGGCGGUUUUGUAAGUCUGUCGUGAAAGCCCCGGGCUCAACCUGGGAAUUGCGAUGGAGACUGCAAGGCUUGAAUCUGGCAGAGGGGGGUAGAAUUCCACGUGUAGCAGUGAAAUGCGUAGAGAUGUGGAGGAACACCGAUGGCGAAGGCAAUCCCCUGGGCCUGCACUGACGCUCAUGCACGAAAGCGUGGGGAGCAAACAGG
rnacentral:rRNA from 1 species